AGGUCUCAGCUCAAGGAAACUGCUGAACCACUACUGCUAUGUCCCAUGCAGACUAACCUGGAGACGCCUUAGCUGCAAGAUGUGUACCACCUGCUGAGAUACAUAAAAAUUUAUAGGAGUCUGCCAUUCUCCUUGCAGUACACCCCAUCUUACCAGGGCACGUUCAGGUACACGGAACUGCAGUGCAGUUAGCAGCCUUUGUACCUUAGAAUUUUGCACCUUUCAGUCUUGCUAUGUUUUCUUCUAAAGCAAACUCUGCAGUAACCUUUUAUUAUCAAAACACUAUUUUACGUAUUUAUGUAAGAACUUUAAUCUGGUAAUUAAUUGAAUGGAAAAAAUAAAAAUAACUAAAACAAAAGCAAGCUCUAAGAUGUUUGAAUGUGCUAAAGAUCUGCCCAUGAUAUUUAGGUUUGUUCUUCCACUUGCAGUAGGUGAAACUAAUAUGAAGCAAAUAAUCUAUGUUUCCAUCCUGCAUUUUGAUAGAAGAUAUUUCUAAUAUUUUAUAUGUACCAUUAUUGUCAUUAUUUGUCAUAUAUGACAAAUUGGAGAGAUUUUGUGACUGGUACUUGCAGUAAAGAGAAUCUAGACUGGC